rnacentral:lncRNA from 1 species
CCAUCACAGCCUUGAUGAUGGAAGAACAUACAGCUGCAAUGGCCACACUGCCAGCACAGGAGCAAUUAAUUGUCAGGUUAAUUUGAGACAGGAGAUGGUAGUAGCUUUUCAAGUCUGCUCAGGGGUGUCUCCCAAGGCCAGGAGCCACUCACUGGGCACCGCAGGGGAACCAGUCUGACAGGUCCCUGGAGUCCGUGGACAGGGAAAAAGAGCAAACCUGCAGAUGAAUAGUGUUUUGAGACAGCAGUAUCAUAGGAAAACUAUAUGCUAUACGAUAUAACCCAGCACCAGAAAUGGGUCAGGGAUUAGGGCGGCACGUCUGCCGUCUUGGCAGAAAUCAAACUGCAGCCUGCGCUGGGACUUGAGCUGGGUUAGGUACCACUGCCUGUGUCGGGAGCAGACCCAGAGUACAAAUAACAUAAUGCGAAAAGGUUUUUAAGAAACUGAAAAGCGAGUUUAAUUCUGGGAAUCCCGAUGAGGGUCUGAGCUUUGAAGCGCAGGAGAAAAUGGGACCUGCGCCGGCAGCCACCUGAACAACCCGGAGGCUCGGUGCGGGAGCGUCCCCGCCGCCCCCCGCAGCGAGCGGGCGGUGCCGGGGCCCGCGGGGCUCCAGCCGGGGCGCUGCGGCUCCUGCGGCAAAGCCCCCGGCCCUGCCUCACGCAGGGGAGCGGCGCCACCGCCCCGCUUACCACCGGCACGGCUCCCCGGCCCCGCCCGGAGGUGAGGGAGGGAGGGAGGACCCGGCGCUCCCCGCCCGGCGCCACACGGGGGGAGUUUCCCCUCAGCGCGGGCAGGUGGGGCCGCUCCGCCGCCCGCCCCGCCUCAGCCCCGCGGGGCAGCGCGGGCAGCCCGCGGCGCUCCCGGCUCGGUCGCUGCCCCUCGCCGGCAGCUGCCGCCAGCAGCAACAGGUCCGUGCCCGCUCCUCCCUCCGCCUGCCAGGCGAACAAAGGGGCCGAGCGCGGCCCCGCGCCCGCCCGGCCCCUCCGCCAGCCCGGCCCCCGCGCUUCAGCCAUUUGCCUCGCCUGGCACCGCGGCGCCGCUCGCAGCCGCCUCCCGCUCCGCUGCCUGGGCCGGGCGCCGGGGCCGCUGCGCUGCGGGAGCUGCCCCGGAGCGGCGCGGGGCUCGUCGGCCGAAAGGGGGAAUGCAUAUGAGGAACACUGAUAUGGAGAGAACUUCCUGAAGGUCAUGCCAAGUGAAAUUUGGCUAGUGGGGAAUCGCCUUCCAGAAUAGACUGCGGCCUCAGCCUUCCACUGAAACAGUUGCACAAGGUGAAUACAUUGUGAUAGUACUCUUUAGUAUCCGCAGUUAGCGACUUUUGCUCAUCACCCAGCGCAGUGUAGGGACCAGUUGUCGUGAAAAGGAUUGCCGUGCCUGCAGACUGCUUAACAUUUCUGCAGAGCAACGGGAAAACCAGAUUUGCUUUUCAGGCUGUUGAGGCGCUCAUCGGGGCGAUCCCACCGAAAGAGCUCAGGUUUUCGGGGGUGAGCUAGCCAAGUUGACGCGGGAGGCGGCCGAGCCGCAGGGUGGAUCCCCCGGGAAAAGGAGAAGCGGCGGUUUAGCCCCGGAAACCAGAGGCGGCCCCGCCUGCGAGCGCGGCGGCCCCGAAUACUAAUCCUGGGAGGCGGGAGGUGUGGGGGGAAAGAAGCCGCGGGGGAGCGAGGAAGGCGCGGAUGCUGAGCGCUGUUGGGUCUGUCCCGCAGGUGAUGGCCGCGCUCCGCACGGACCAGGCGCGGCGCC